GACGAACGCCGGCGGCGUGCUUAACACAUGCAAGUCGAGCGGUAAGGCCCUUUCGGGGGUACACGAGCGGCGAACGGGUGAGUAACACGUGGGUGACCUGCCCUCAGCUCUGGGAUAAGCCCGGGAAACUGGGUCUAAUACCGGAUAUGACUCCAUGACGCAUGUUGUGGGGUGGAAAGCCUUGUGCGGCUGAGGAUGGGCCCGCGGCCUAUCAGCUUGUUGGUGGGGUGAUGGCCUACCAAGGCGACGACGGGUAGCCGGCCUGAGAGGGCGACCGGCCACACUGGGACUGAGAUACGGCCCAGACUCCUACGGGAGGCAGCAGUGGGGAAUCUUGCGCAAUGGGCGAAAGCCUGACGCAGCGACGCCGCGUGAGGGAUGACGGCCUC
rnacentral:rRNA from 1 species